CCUACGGGGUGCAGCAGUGGGGAAUAUUGCACAAUGGGGGAAACCCUGAUGCAGCAACGCCGCGUGAAGGAAGACGGUUUUCGGAUUGUAAACUUCUGUUCUUAGUGAAGAAUAAUGACGGUAGCUAAGGAGCAAGCCACGGCUAACUACGUGCCAGCAGCCGCGGUAAUACGUAGGUGGCAAGCGUUGUCCGGAAUUACUGGGGGUAAAGGGAGCGCAGGCAGGAAGCCAAGUCAGCUGUGAAAACUACGGGCUUAACUUGUAGACUGCAGUUGAAACUGGUUUUCUUGAGUGAAGUAGAGGUUGGCGGAAUUCCGAGUGUAGCGGUGAAAUGCGUAGAUAUUAGGAGGAACACCAGUGGCGAAGGCGGCUUACUGGACAGUAACUGACGUUGAGGCUCGAAAGCGUGGGGAGCAAACAGGAUUAGAUACCCUUGUAGUC
rnacentral:rRNA from 1 species